rnacentral:rRNA from 1 species
AGCGAACGCUGGCGGCAGGCUUAACACAUGCAAGUCGAACGGGCGUAGCAAUACGUCAGCGGCAGACGGGUGAGUAACACGUGGGAACGUGCCCUUCGGUUCGGAAUAACUCAGGGAAACUUGAGCUAAUACCGGAUACGCCCUUUGGGGAAGGUUACUGCCGAAGGAUCGGCCCGCGUCUGAUUAGCUAGUUGGUGGGGUAAGUGGCCUACCAAGGCGACGAUCAGUAGCUGGUCUGAGAGGAUGAUCAGCCACACUGGGACUGGGACACGGCCCAGACUCCUACGGGAGGCAGCAGUGGGAAUUGUUCGCAAUGGGCGCAAGCCUGACGACGCAACGCCGCGU